CAACCCUCGAACCCCUCCGGGGGGUCGGCGUUGGGGAUCGGCCCUUUACGGGGCCGGCCCCGAAAUACAGUGGCGGUCUCGCCGCAGCCUCUCCUGCUCAGUAGUUUGCACACUCGCAUCGGGAGCGCUGCGCGUCCAUUGCCGUAAAACACCUAACUUUCUGAAC
rnacentral:misc_RNA from 1 species